rnacentral:misc_RNA from 1 species
GAUGAAGAACGCCAGCGAAAUGCGAUACUUGGUGUGAAUUGCAGAAUCCCGUGAACCAUCGAGUCUUUGAACGCAAGUUGCGCCCGAAGCCACUAGGCCGAGGGCACGCCUGCCUGGGCGUCACACGCCGUUGCCCCCCCAUCUACUCCUUCGGGAUUGCGGGGGGGCGGAUGAUGGCCUCCUGUGCGCCUAGCCGCGCGGUUGGCAUAAAUACCAAGUCCUCGGCGACGCACGCCACGACAAUCGGUGGUUGCGAAACCUCGGUUGCCCGUCGUGUGCGUUCGUCGCGCAUCGAGGGCUCGAAAAAAUGCUCGGCUCCGGCUGGGCUUUCAACGCGACCCCAGGUCAGGCGGGGUUACCCGCUGAAUUUAAGCAUAUCAAUAAGCGGAGGA